AGGUCGGGCGGAUAUCUUUGGGACGAUAUUCUGGAAUAGGCCGAACCAAAACCCUUUCUCAGAUGUUCACUCUGCUGGUCCCCAACAGCAGUGUG
ncrna:unclassified sequences Rhodo-rpoB RNA